rnacentral:rRNA from 1 species
CAAUAGCGUAUAUCUAUUUUGCUGUAGUUAAAAAGCUCGUAGUUGAAAAUAAAAAACUCGAAAGAAAUGAUGUAUAACUACUAUGUUAUAUGUUGUUUGUAAUAAAAUGAACUGGAGUGAAUAUGUUAAAAUUGAAACUCCUUUUCUACCAUAAAUAAAUUAGAGUGUUUAAAGCAGUACAAAAUAAUUUAAUUAUUUGAAUGUACAUUGUAUAUUUUAGUAUGGGAUAGUAAAACAAGAAAACCAAUUUGAUAAGCGAUUGGACGUUAAAAAUCUAAUUGUUUAUUGUAAUGGUUUUAAUGAUUAAUAGGGACAAUUGAGGCAAUCAGUAUUUCUACACGAGCGGUGAAAUGCGUAGACUGUGGAAAGACUAACUAAUGCGAAAGCAUUUUGCAAAGGUGUUUNCAUUAA